GCAUCUCUCUAUCUGUGUGUGCAUUUGUAUGUCUCUUUCUCAAUCUAACCCUUUGCCUCUCAAUCCCUCUCUUCCAUCCUUCUCCGCCGGCGCCUCCCUCUCCCUUAAAUUCUCCGCCUUCUCUUCCCCAAAUCGCCGCAUGAAUUUCGAUCCAACUCUCAGGUUGAUUGAUAACCAAUGUGCCUCUCUAGAAGUUUCAAGUUUCCUUUGAUUCAUCGAUAUUUGGUGCAUCUGACACGCUAAAGUUCUUGUUCAAUUCUAAAAGAUGGACCGGUGUGACACUUCAGGAUUUGUUAGUGGGGGCG
rnacentral:misc_RNA from 1 species